UUCACCCUCUUAUUUCCUCACUACUAAACGUCCUCAACUCCUCGCAGUUGGGCUGCUUUCUGCCCCCACGGCUGAGACUGCUUUCCCCAGAGUCAAACAAGUCCUUACUGUAUUACCAAAUCCAAUACCCUUGUCUCUGUCUCCAUAGUCCUCAAUUCACAGCACUGUUGAACAUUGUUGACUGCUCCCAUAUGCCCUGAAAUUGUUAGGUACGAAGACAGAUACAAGCAGUUGGAGAAGAGAGGGUCUGGAGGGAAAGCACCACCCAGUCCAUGGCCAGCUAGAGAGGCCCCACUUUAUGAAAAAUUUUGUCGAGGGACAACUUCCUUAUCUGAGAAGUCCAGGGCUAGCAGGUCCACACCAGAUCACCACACAGGCGCAGUUAGACAAUAACAACCACUGCUUAACCAUACCUCAUUAUAAUCUUGUUAGCAUAAAACCUACAUUGUGCUUUUACACUUACACAAACCCCAUCCCCCAUGGGCUCUUCUGUGUGCAUUCUGGGAAAAGACAUGCAUGUUAAGAUAAAUGAUUAUAUGACUAAAAGUAUAAAUCAAAGAAAUGCCUCCCAACUAGGGCUUAAUAAAAGAGACCUUCCCAUAAGGAUCAAGGCUUCAGUCAGUGCUGACUCUGGCCCCCUCCCCUCUUGGAGUGUACUUAAAUAAACCUUUACUUUGCUUUUCCAUUCUUUGUCUCAGUGGGGACAAGAACUGAGGAGCAACCAUGAACCAUGACAAAAUCAUCUUCCUGGAUUCUUACCACACCAUGUUGUCUUCUUCCUCUGGCCUAUGUGGGGAAAAUGGAAGUUUCUGACCAGGAUUCCCCGCUGGCCCUAAUAUUGCCCAUUGUGUAUGUAAUUAGAGCCUGUUUACACAUUUAUGGGAUGUUUACCAGCAACAGCGCCACUGGUCAGUCACAGGAAAAACUGCCCAGGGAGGGGUGGAGAGGCAACACCCAUUCUCUCCUCUCCCUGUGUUCCUGGUAUGUAAUUGGUCAGGCAACCACCAGUCACCAGGAACCUGCCCAGAGAGUCCCUCCAAGAGCACAAGAGGAGGGAGUAUGGAAAGGCCAGGAUAGCCAUGAGAGAGCCUUGGAGCCCUGGUGCUCCUGUAGAAUUGAUCCUGAGUAUGGAGCGGGGAGCUUGGAGCGUGGAGAGCCAGGAGACUGAGACCUACUGCCUAGAAGAUUGAGCUCCUGCUGGGAAGCAGCACCUGUAGCCGGCCUGCUGAGCACAUUCAAGCCAGCCGACUGUCCUGAGCUGCCUGUGACUGCCAAGAGAAUAAACGUGCCUGUUUCCUCAGCUGCAGUGUGAAUUCCUCAAGCCCCCCAGAAAGUCUGCCUGGAACAACACUGGUUCUCAAGUGCUACAAAGAAAAGGGAACGGCACGGUGACUGGCAGCCCUGUAGCCCAUGGAGAACAGUUGUUAUGUUGCAGAGGUCUUGCCCAACGCCAGAAAACAGAUGUCCACCCCUCUUUUACCCAUAAGGAGACUCAGGUUCACAGUGGUGCGAUGACUUGCCCAGACCUACAAAGGUGGACCUGCUCGGCUUGGCACGGCCGGACCACAUCAAGUGGCACCCGAACAGGGGCCUGAAGAAGAGGGAGAAGGUGAGGGCCACAAUGUCAAGAAGAGAAAGCCCUGGCCAGGGUAACUAGAGAAGACGCGCAAGAGAAGAGGCGCGCAAGCAAUGUGGA